rnacentral:rRNA from 1 species
GGGGGGGGGGGGGGGGGGGGGGGGGAGAGGCAGGUCGAGCGGGAGGGUUUUGAAAGCUUUGUUCGGAGGGAAUUUGAUUUAGUUUAGGGGCGGACGGGUGAGUAACGCGUGAGUAACCUGCCUUCAGGAGGGGAAUAACAUUCUGCAAAGCAUGCUAAUACCGCAUGACAUAUCGGAACCACAUGGUUUUGAUAUCAAAGAGUUUAUCGCUUGAAGAUGGACUCGCGUACGAUUAGUUAGUUGGUGAGGUAACGGCUCACCAAGACCGCGAUCGGUAGCCGGACUGAGAGGUUGAACGGCCACAUUGGGACUGAGACACGGCCCAGACUCCUACGGGAGGCAGCAGUGAGGGAUAUUGCGCAAUGGGGGCAACCCUGACGCAGCAACGCCGCGUGAAGGAUGAAGGUUUUCGGAUUGUAAACUUCUUUUAUUAAGGACGAAAAAUGACGGUACUUAAUGAAUAAGCUCCGGCUAACUACGUG